GGAAGUAAAAGUCGUAACAAGGUUUCCGUAGGUGAACCUGCGGAAGGAUCAUUACUGAUUUAGCGAACCGAGCGUUAGCGAGGUUUUGCGAUCAACUUGUAUUUAAAACCCACUCUUCAAUGUAUAAAAUUUGUAUUAAUGAUAAAUUAAAAGAUCACUUUCAACAACGGAUCUCUUGGCUCUCGCAUCGAUGAAGAACGUAGCGAAGUGCGAUAAGUAAUGUGAAUUGCAGUAUUCCGUGAAUCAUCGAACCUUUGAACGCAUAUUGCACUUUCUGGUAUUCCGGAAAGUAUGCCUGUUUGAGGGUCAGUUAAAUAAAAAUCGGUGUUGUUGCCGCUUUCCGUGGUGACGCGUCGGAAUUGAGUCGUCUUCGGUUAAGUGACUUAAAAUUUUAUAUGAUUUUCGAACGUAUUUAAAUUUAUUUGAACGUUAGAUAUCGAAUGCUUAUUAGGUUCGGUCAUCCUCAUGACUCGCGCCUAUAAUUUUUCAUUAAAUGACCUCAAAUCAGGUAAGAAUACCCGCUAAACUUAAGCAUAUCAAUAAGCGGAGGA
rnacentral:rRNA from 1 species